AUGCAGAGGUGCUUUUUCCCUUGCUCUGGACUUUGUGGCAGGAAAACGACUUCAGCAGCUUUACAAGAGGAGAGAGAUCAGCUCCACAAAAAUUAUUUUAGACCUAUGCCAGCAGCUGCGGCGCUUUUGCAGAGUAUCCCGGUGACUGAGAUAGAAGACAAGACCCUGCAUCUUCUUCUGACUGGUAAAGAAUGUCAACGGUGGUGGUGGUGGUGGUCAGGACCUGGUUGGUCACCUGCACUCUCUCCUGGCUGCAAGACCAUGCGGGUGGGUGUAAGAAAGAGAAAGAGGGCGAAGAGGACCCAUGGUUGUCAUGGAGGUCAUGAAGUCUUGACCCAGCCCGCACAAAGUUGCUUCAGUUCCCUAGCAGAGGAAGGGUUAGCAGAGGGGGGGGGAGAAGCUACCUUCUCCACAGGUGGAUGUGUUCCUGGUCAGAAGAUGCCUGAGAUUCCGCCGGGUGUACUGAGCCCUUCCGAGCCUCCUUUGCCUCUUCCAAAUCCCAGAACGCUCAGAGCCAGCAUGGCCAUCCCAUCCGGACAAAGGUAG
rnacentral:lncRNA from 1 species